CCUACGGGAGGCAGCAGUGGGGAAUCUUGCGCAAUGGGCGAAAGCCUGACGCAGCAACGCCGCGUGCGGGAAGAAGGCUUUCGGGCUGUAAACCGCUUUCAGCAGGAACGAAAAUGACGGUACCUGCAGAAGAAGGAGCGGCCAACUAUGUGCCAGCAGCCGCGGUGAUACAUAGGCUUCAAGCGUUGUCCGGAUUUAUUGGGCGUAAAGAGUUCGUAGGCGGUCGAGUAAGUCGGGUGUGAAAAUUCUGGGCUCAACCCAGAGACGCCACCCGAUACUGCUUGACUUGAGUUCGAUAGGGGAGUGGGGAAUUCCUAGUGUAGCGGUGAAAUGCGCAGAUAUUAGGAGGAACACCGGUGGCGAAGGCGCCACUCUGGAUCGAUACUGACGCUGAGGAACGAAAGCAUGGGUAGCAAACAGGAUUAGAUACCCUGGUAGUCCAUGCCGUAAACGGUGGGCACUAGGUGUGGGUUUCUAUUAACGAAAUCCGCGCCGUCGCUAACGCAUUAAGUGCCCCGCCUGGGGAGGUACGGUCGCAGACUAAACUACAAUAGAAGUAGACGGCGUGAGACGUGCCGACGGACGACGACGAGGGAGGUAGG
rnacentral:rRNA from 1 species